GGGGGAUAUUGCACAAUGGGGGAAACCCUGAUGCAGCGACGCCGCGUGGAGGAAGAAGGUUUUCGGGUUGUAAACUCCUGUCGUUAGGGACGAUAAUGACGGUACCUAACAAGAAAGCACCGGCUAACUACGUGCCAGCAGCCGCGGUAAAACGUAGGGUGCAAGCGUUGUCCGGAAUUACUGGGUGUAAAGGGAGCGCAGGCGGGAAGACAAGUUGGAAGUGAAAACCAUGGGCUCAACCCAUGAAUUGCUUUCAAAACUGUUUUUCUUGAGUAGUGCAGAGGUAGAUGGAAUUCCCGGUGUAGCGGUGGAAUGCGUAGAUAUCGGGAGGAACACCAGUGGCGAAGGCGGUCUACUGGGCACCAACUGACGCUGAGGCUCGAAAGCAUGGGUAGCAAACAGGAUUAGAUACCCUGGUAGUCCAUGCCGUAAACGAUGAUUACUAGGUGUUGGGGGAU
rnacentral:rRNA from 1 species